CUGUCCCGACAAUCCUAUCCAGGAUUGGGGGCGUGACAGGUGGUUUGCCAUCUGCGACGUUGCGAGAAGUCCACUAAACCUUAUCAUUUAGAGGAAGAAGAAGUCGUAACAAGGUUUCCGUAGGUGAACCUGCGGAAG
rfam:Brassica napus, WGS project CCCW01000000 data, contig: 24722